rnacentral:rRNA from 1 species
UACGUAGGGUGCAAGCGUUUGUCCGGAAUUAUUGGGCGUAAAGAGCUCGUAGGCGGUCUGUCGCGUCGGCUGUGAAAACCCCGGAGCUCAACUCCGGGCCUGCAGUCGAUACGGGCAAACUGGAGUACUGCAGGGGAGACUGGAAUUCCUGGUGUAGCGGUGAAAUGCGCAGAUAUCAGGAGGAACACCGGUGGCGAAGGCGGGUCUCUGGGCAGUAACUGACGU